GCUAUUAUGUACCUGAAGGUUUAACUGCUAUAUUACCCUGAAAGAAUCAUUUGGAGGGGAGGAAGGAGCUCGCUUUUCCCUGGGCUACAUCAGUGAAUUCAAUUUCUAUUGAAGAGAGACUAGCAUUUUAAAAACCACUGUGUGUGGAGCUUCGAGUCCUUUUCUUCUUUCGGUCUGUUACAUUUCCCAGAAUGGUUCCCAGCGCUGGAGAUAAUUCCUUUUCGGAGAACCUACAUUUCUCACCUGCUGAUUGCAAUUAGCCACUGCCAGCUGGGGCCUGGUGCGCAGCUGAAAAGCUAACAAGAAGUGGAGACCACGCGGAACCCAGACAGGGCAUAGGAGAUGCCUCUGGAAAGUAAAGAGCCUACCUGAGUGCCUUAUGCCACAGAGUGGAGAACCAGGAGCCAUAAGGAAUGGGUGACUGGCUUUAGAUCUAGAUUCUGAAAACUCAAGCCCUGUGUCAACUUCUACAUCCGGGUCAAUGGAUAACAAAUAUGGAACUUGCUAUUUCUACUGACACUUGCAUAAAGACCCACCUAUUACUGGCUGAUCUGGGGUGUGGGUGGACUAUUUAACUCAGGACCUACCUACUCUUACCCACUGCUGUUUUUGAUUGUGGGUCAAGGGAUGGAUUUCCUUCCUGAGUUCUUCUGAUACCAAGAUUGGUAGAUUGGCCUACUACUGCCACUGGGUGUUGGUGUCCCUGCUAAGUCCCUGCUGGCUUUCCUUGUUCCUGGUAAAUAAUGAAAGAUAAGAAAGAAAUCCUAUGGAAGUCACUGUUCAUCAUGGUGUUGCUCUUAAAGUCUUGAGAUCUGUAGUGAGUUUUCUUCUAUCCAACAUUCAGACUUUUUACCAUUUUCUGUUGAAUUAUUUCCAAGGUAUUUCAUUAUAUUUAAAGUGAAAGAACAGGGAAAAUUGAUUCUAUUCUAUUUUGUCUCUGAAUUGGAAGCCAUUAUUUUAAAUUAAAAUUAUUGCUCAGAAUAGGAGUAUUUUCUGGGUGAUAGAUAUAUGAGUAUUCAUUUUAUAUUAUUCUCUACAGUCCUAUAGGUUCGAUACACCAAAAAUGUCUAAUGUAAGGUUAUGCCACAUAUAAGAUACUCUCCCAUUACAAGUGCAGUCUUUCCUACUUUGGUUUAUUCUAUUUUAUAUCUAUUCUAUUAUAUUUUGGUCAACAAAAUAUGUGCACGGUCAAGACUCAUUAGCCAGAAACAAUUUCAAUCAAUGAUAGUUUGGGAUGAUCAUCUGAGAGAAUGAAUUAAAAACAAGGCAAAGAAAUCUAAUGCAAAUUUAGUCAUUAUGCCUGGGGACGUGGCCUCACAGUUGCAAGAGUUAGAUGUCCAUAUAAGCUUGUCUUUUAAAGGACACUUUAAAAAGCAAUGCAAUAAAUGAUGCUUAUGAUAUUUAAAAUUUUUUUUAAUAUGAGAAUGGAAACUUGAAACUUCAGAUAUUUCUACUGACAUUAUCCUACAUAGAUUAAGGUAUUCUAUAUCUCAACUUUGAGGGAAAUGAAAAUGAUAUGACUUGGAGAACUGCAAUAGAUAACUCAAGCAUGUAUCUAUGAAACAUGUCCCUAAG